UACGUAGGGGGCGAGCGUUGUCCGGAAUUAUUGGGCGUAAAGGGUACGCAGGCGGUUCUUUAAGUCUGAUGUGAAAUCUCACAGCUUAACUGUGAGCGGUCAUUGGAAACUGAGGAACUUGAGUAUAGAAGAGAAGAGUGGAAUUCCAAGUGUAGCGGUGAAAUGCGUAGAGAUAUGGAGGAACACCAGUGGCGAAGGCGGGUAACUGGACCGCAACUGACGCUGAGGCGCGAAAGUGUGGGGAGCAAACAGGAUUAGAUACCCGUGUA
rnacentral:rRNA from 1 species